UACGUAGGUGGCAAGCGUUGUCCGGAAUUAUUGGGCGUAAAGAGCGUGUAGGCGGUCAGGUAGGUCGGUUGUGAAAACUGGAGGCUCAACCUUCAGAGGUCGACCGAAACCCCCUGGCUAGAGUCCGGGAGAGGAGAGUGGAAUUCCUGGUGUAGCGGUGAAAUGCGCAGAUAUCAGGAAGAACACCCGUGGCGAAAGCGGCUCUCUGGAACGGUACUGACGCUGAGACGCGAAAGCGUGGGGAGCGAACAGG
rnacentral:rRNA from 1 species